CAGGGAGACAAUAAAUAGAUUAUGAAUAUUGUAUCUUUAAUUGCAGUUCAUAGUCCUGUCACCUUAGGUCGAUCGGUACCUCAGCUUAAUGACCUAAAACAAAUGAUUUCUCAUUAGUUAAAGGUAAUUAUUUUUAGUUCCUAAACUUGUCUAGGUCACACCCAAUAAAUUUUCUUCUGGGCUAUUAGCUCAGGCGGUUAGAGCGCACCCCUGAUAAGGGUGAGGUCCCUGGUUCAAGUCCAGGAUGGCCCAUUCGUUGUUGGGGGUAUAGCUCAGUUGGUAGAGCGCCUGCUUUGCAAGCAGGAUGUCAGCGGUUCGAGUCCGCUUACCUCCACUGAUCAACUGCCUAAUAACUCUUUAAAUGGAGAUUAUUUUUAAAUGUGUGAUUUAGAGUUGUUCCCUGAAUGAACCUAGCUUCAUAUCAUUAUCUUGAUUCUGAAAUUCAAGUUUGAUAAGACGCUGGGCUCACUGUAUUUCUUAAUUGAAUACAGCAAAGUUCAGUAGAACCUUGACAACUGCAUAGGAAAGUCUGGAAAAAAUAAAGCAUCUCAUAGAUGCAUAUACUCUUUUGAUUAAAUUUUAGAUUUUUUCAAUAGAGUAAAUGUUUAAUUCUUAUUUAAAGAGCUCUUAAUUUUAAAGUCUUUCUUGAUACUUAUUAUCUGAUAUUUUCAGAUGAUUAGUGUUUAAGUAAAGACAUUUUUAUAGAUCAUUAUAU
rnacentral:tRNA from 1 species